CAUUUAAAUCUGUCAGCUGCAAUGCCAAGUUCCAACCUCUAGAUGCCGCUGCAGGACAACGCAGGGAAAGCAAAUGGCGGCUCCUACGGAAUGAUGUUCGGCACAGAAAAUAAGGCUCAGCAGAUACUCCCAAUCCACAAACUGUCCCGGAAGAAAGAUACGCAAAAAGCGGGGCGUAGUGAGCUCUCUUCGCCUCUGGUACUUACAAUCCAGUGACGAUUAUAAGUCCAGUUUCUCCGGACAGGCGCGAGCGGAAAAGGAAGCCACUCAGAGCAAGGUGGCCGGGAGCCGAGCGUCUCCUUCCGAAUUCCUUUGUUCUUCCCGGCACCUGGCAAAGCGAUCCGCUGAUUAUCGGUGAAAUGGCGGAGGACGGGCAACGCGAAAUCUCGCCAAAAACCGCAGCUCCAAACGCCAGAUUCUGCAACUCCGCAGCUCAGCGGGCCUCCGUCCGUUAACGGCCGACCUAGCCGAGAAAAGACAGCUACGUCACCACACGGGACGGGACGCUGCUGUGAGUCGCAACACGCCUCGGGCGGAAGUGCGGGCUGCCCCGGCGCGCGCAGGCGCAACGCCGAUUACGCGCUCCGGCGUGUCUUGUAGUCUCGCGAGAACUUGGCCUUAACGGGAUAAAGACUAUGUUUUAAAAACCUGUUGAUUUAGGCAUUCCCUGGUGGUGCAGUGGUUGGGAGUCCGCCUGCCGAUGCAGAUCCGCGGGUUCGUGCCCCAGUCCGGGAGGAUCCUGCGUGCCGCGGAGCGGUUGGGCUCCUGAACCGUGGCUGCUGGGCCUGCGCGUCUGGAGCCUGUGCUCCGCAAUGGGAGAGGCCACAGCACUGAGAGGCCUGCGUAACGCAAAAAAAAAAAAAAAAAAAAGCUGUUAGUUUUUAAAAGUAACGGUUCUAAGAAGGACAUAGAUUUUCCCGCCCGCCUCCGCUAAGCCAGGGCUUUUACCGGAUGUCUGUGGGGCCGGAUACCUCCUAGGCUUCCGUGUGAUUGCCGGAGAUAGGGCGUCCGUGCGGAAAUGGUGUUUGUUUCUUGAAACAUCUCGGCAUCUCCACAGGCUAUAUUCAAUCUGGAGCCGAUAAAAGAACUCUAUAACUAACCAUACCGUGGAUUUUAAAGUAUCCAAGUCAGUGGAGUGAGGACGUGAAGCCCACUAUAACUCUAAGUCUGUGUUUGUUGAUUAUGAAGAUGGCCGUAGGGGGCCCGUGACUCGGUCUUUUUCUGUUUUGAAGACCCCCUGAGGGAACAAGGGUGAUUCCUCUUUUUUCUUUUUCUUUUCUUUUUUUAUACAGCAAUUUCUUAUUAGUCAUCCAUUUUGUACAUAUUAGUGUAUACAUGUCAAUCCCAAUCUCCCAGUUCAUCCCCGCCCUCCCCUCCCCUGCCACUUCCCCCCCUUGGUGUCCAUACGUUUGUUGUCUGCAUCUGUGUCUCAAUUUCUGCCCUGCAAACCGGUUCAUCUGUACCAUUUUUCUAGGUUCCACAUAUAUGCGUUAAUAUACGAUAUUUGUUUUUCUCUUUCUGACUUCACUCUGUGUGAGUCUCUAGAUCCAUCCACGUCUCUAUAGGUGACCCAAUUUCGUUCCUUUUUAUGGCUGAGUAGUGAUUCCUCUUUUUAAUGUGUUUGACGUAAAUAUAAAUGUAAACAGAGAAGGUAGUGUUCUUCUGGAGGCCCAUGUUCAUUUAGGACAGUUGGCUGAAAGACGAAUAGUCUGAUUAAAGUAGAAUAUAAUUGAAGUAUUACUUCCUUCUACUCAUUUGCCAGUAAUUUUUAAAUUAGUUUGGAAUUUUAAAAAAUCCACCUCUACUGUUUGGAUAACUUUUCUGCUUGCCUCUUCUUUAGGUGGUCAAGUAUUCUUCAACAUGUAUUUAUAGUACUUCAGUUUAACUGUGUAACAGUUUCCACUUAUUCCUAUUCAUUUCCAUUUAUUUAUUAAUAGGAUCAAUUUGGUAGACUAUCGAGGUCACUAAAAUUUCAAUUUCUAUUCUCUAAUAUAUCAACACCUGCAUCUAAGUUUUAGAGAAUUCACUUAAAAUGUGAUUAACAUUUAGAAAAUUCACUUUAUUUCUUUAUGUACUUAUUGUCUCCCUCACCUAAGAUUGGAAGCUCCAUGAUAAUCAGGAGUCUAAUAUCAUGUUCAUCCGGUCCCAGUGCCUAGUAUCAAAACGUGGGAGAUAAAAAAUAUUUGCUAAUUGAAUGAAACAAUUGAUCCAUCCAGAAAGAAUAUAAAUACAAUCUAAAUCCUAUAGUAAUUUGUCAGAAAAUACAUUCUGUGUCACCUUAAAAUGAGAUAGAGCCACUUUAUAUAUACAUUUCCUCUCCAGUCUCGGACGGUGCCAAUUGUUAUGAGGCCAGAAGUUUGCAAAUAGCGUGUGUGAAUGUGACCCCUUUUGUUUCGUAGACUGUGCUACUGUGUGUCAUGGGGUGGAAUUUAAAUGGUUUGGUACCAGUCUGGUUUUUUAUGUUAAGUUUGAAGGAAAAUUAUGCUCUUCUACAUAACUGUACUUUAGUUCUUUGUUCUGUAAUGUGUUGAAGAACGUUAGCUGAUGUAUAUGUAAUUUCCAGGAUGAUGUAUUUCCUCUUUUUGAAGAAGUUUUUCCAAUGUGCUUGUCCCUUAAUUGUACCUGAUUUUACUUCAUAGAUAUGAGUUUAGCAUGCUAGCCUUUGCAUAAUGCUUUAUUUAACCCUAUAAAAUGUGAGGCCGUGCUUAUACAUGAAAAUAAUCCAAAUAUUGCUUUGCAUUUUAAUUGCCUAUGAGUUUUAUGAUGCUCAUAUAUCUUUGUCACAAAAAAUAACUUGAGAUAAAUUCUGGGCAAUUCAGAUUUGCCAAAAUUAUCGUGUAUUUUAGUUAUUAAACCUUGAAAUGGAAGGUUGUCAGAGAUAAUUAAAAGGAUCAACUGAAGUGUCCCCUAAAGUAUCUACCUCCUUCAAUCCUGAAACAUAUUUUCUGUUUUUGAGUUUAAUACAUUUUCUGAAUGCUGUUUUUUGAGGGGUAGUUACAUUGAUCUUAAAGCUAAGGGCCCUGCCACAUCACCAUUACCUUAAUGUCUAUUGAUUAAUCCAGUUGUUGUUCUUGUUGUUGUUGUUUUGACUGGGUAACUGAAUUUUAUUUAUUUAUUUUAUUUUUGGCUGCAUUGGGUCUCUGUUGCUGCACGUGGGCUUUCUCUAGUUGGAGCGAGCGGGGGCUACUCUUCGUUGCAUUGCGUGAGCUUCUCAUUGCGGUGGCUUCUCUUGCUGCAGAGCACGGGCUCUAGGUGCGCGGGCUUCAGUAGCUGCAGCACGCAGGCUCAGUAGUUGUGGCUCACGGGCUUAGUUGCUCCGCAGCAUGUGGGAUCUUCCCGGAGCAGGGCUCGAACCCAUUUCUCGUGCAUUGGCAGGCAGAUUCUUAACCACUACACUGCCAGGCAAGUCCCAAGGAACUGAAUUUUUAAUUUUGUUUAAUUUCUUUAACACCUUUAUUGGAGUAUAAUUGCUUUACAAUGGUGUGUUAGUUUCUGCUUUAAAACAAAGUUAAUCACCUAUACAUAUACAUAUAUCCCCGUAUCUCCUCCCUCUUGCGUCUCCCUCCCACCCGCCCUAUCCCACCCCUCCAGGUGGUCACAAACCACCGAGCUGAUCUCCCUGUGCUAUGUGGCUGCUUCCUACUAUCUAUUUUACAUUUGGUAGUGUAUAUAUGUCCAUGCCACUCUCUCACUUCGUCCCACCUUACCCUUACCCCUCCCCGUGUCCUCAAGUCCAUUCUCUAUGUCUGCGUUUUUAUUCCUGUCUUACCCCUAGGUUCUUCAUGACAUUUUUUUUCCUUAAAUUCCAUAUAUAUGUGUUAGCAUACGGUAUUUGUCUUUUUCUUUCUGACUUACUUCACUCUGUAUGACAGAUUCUAGGUCCAUCCAACUCAGUACAAAUAACUCAAUUUCGUUUCUUUUUAUGGCUGAGUAAUAUUCUAUUGUAUAUAGGUGCCACAUCUUCUUUAUCCAUUCAUCUGUCGAUGGACACUUAGGCUGCUUCCAUGUCCUGGCUAUUAUAAAUAGAGCUGCAAUGAACAUUGUGGUACAUGACUCUUUGAAUUAUGGUUUUCUCAGGCUUAUUCCCAGUAGUGGGAUUGCUGGGCUCUAUGGUAUUUCUAUUUUUAGCUUUUUAAGGAACCUCCACACUGUUCUCCGUAGUGGCUGUAUCAAUUUACAUUCCCACCAACAGUGCAAGAGUGUUCCCUUUUCUCCACACGCUCUCCAGCAUUUAUUAUUUGUAGAUUUUUUGAUGGUGGCCAUGCUGACUGGUGUGAGGUGAUAACCUCAUUGUAGUUUUGAUUUGCAUUUCUCUAAUGAUGUGUGAUGUUGAGCAUCCUUUCAUGUGGUGGUGGCAAUCUGUAUAUCUUCUUUGGAGAAAUGUCUGUUUAGGUCUUCUGCCCAUUUUUGGAUUGGGUUGUUUGUUUUUUUGAUAUUGAGCUGCAUGAGCUGCUUGUAAAUUUUGGAGAUUAAUCCUUUGUCAGUUGCUUCAUUUGCAUAUAUUUUCUCCCAUUCUGAGGGUUGUCUUUUCAUCUUGUUUAUGGUUUCCUUUGUUGUGUAAAAGCUUUUAAGUUUCAUUAGGUCCCAUUUGUUUAUUUUUGUUUUUAUUUCCAUUUCUCUAGGAGGUGUGUCAAAAAGGAUCUUGCUGUGAUUUAUGUCAUAGAGAGUUCUGCCUAUGUUUUCCUCUAAGAGUUUGAUAGUGUCUGGCCUUACAUUUAGGUCUUUAAUCCAUUUUGAGUUUAUUUUUCUGUAUGGUGUUAGGGAGUGUUCUAAUUUCAUUCUUUUACAUGUGGCUGUCCAGUUUUCCCAGCACCACUUAUUGAGGAGGCUGUCUUUUCUCCAUUGUAUAUUCUUGCCUCCUUUAUCAAAAAUAAGGUGACCGUAUGUGCGUGGGUUUAUCUCUGGGCUUUCUAUCCUGUUCCAUUGAUCUAUAUUUCUGUUUUUGUGCCAGUACCAUACUGUCUUGAUUACUGUAGCUUUGUAGUAUAGUCUGGAGUCUGGGAGCCUGAUUCCUCCAGCUCCGUUUUUCUUUCUCAAGAUUGCUUUGGCUAUUCGGGGUCUUUUUUGUUUCCAUGCAAAUUGUGAAAUUUUUUGUUCUACUUCUGUGAAAACUGCCAUUGGUAGCUUGAUAGGGAUUGCACUGAAUCUGUAGAUUACUUUGGGUAGUAUAGUCAUUUUCACAAUGUUGAUUCUUCCUGUCCAAGAACGUGGUAUCCCUCUCCAUCUGUUUGUAUCAUCUUUAAUUUCUUUCAUCAGUGUCUUAUAGUUUUCUGCAUAUAGGUCUCUUGUCUCCUUAGGUAGGUUUAUUCCUAGGUAUUUUAUUAUUUUUGUUGCAGUGGUAAAUGGGAGUGUUUCCUUAAUUUCUCUUUCAGAUUUCUCAUCAUUAGUGUAUAGGAAUGCAAGAGAUUUCUGUGCAUUAACUUUGUAUCCUGCUACUUUACCAAGUUCAUUGAUUAGCUCUAGUAGUUUUCUAGUAGCAUCUUUAGUAUUCUCUAUGCAUAGUAUCAUGUCAUCUGCAAACAGUGACAGCUUUACUUCUUCUUUUCUUAUUUGGAUUCCUUUUAUUUGUUUUUUUUUCUCUGAUUGCUGUGGCUAAAACUUCCAAAACUAUGUUGAAUAAUAGUGGUGAGCGUGGAUAACCUUGUCUUGUUCCUGAUCUUAGUGGAAAUGGUUUCAGUUUUUCACCAUUGAGAACGAUUUUGGCUGUGGGUUUGUCAUAUAUAGCCUUUAUUAUGUUGAGGUAAGUUCCCUCUAUACCUACUUUCUGGAGGGUUUUUAUCAUAAAUCGGUGUUGAAUUUUGUCAAAUGUUGUUUUUUUAAAUCAAAUCCACUUGACAUAUAGAAACACUCUAAGUUGAUAAAAAGAAUUACACUCCUGUGGUUGUUCCAUAAAAUAUCUGUGAUACUGGUGAACCAAAGAUUUGGGGGGGAGCAAUAAAUUCCCCAGUGUGGUAAUAAGCCUCACAGGGCUUCCUACCUAUGAUAAAGGAGUAUCACAAUCGGGCUAAUGCUGUAUGAUUGAAAAUUCUCUUUAAUAAACUUUCAAGUUCCUUAUACUGUGGAGGUUAAAAAAAAUGUGAGUGAUGGAAGAAGCCUUGUUUAUAUUUUGGAGAUUGAAAAUUAUAGGAGUGAGGAAAUAGCAAAUACCCCCCAAAAUACACUUAUAUACUGUUCCAGCAGUAUAUAAUCAGUAAAAAGCAAGUUAACUAAAUUGUAGCAGUCUCUUGUAUCAAAUAGGAUGCUUUCGAUAGAAAAAAAGACCAGCCUAAUUUACACUGGUUUAAACAGUAAGAAAAUGUGUUAUCUCAAAAACCAGGUAGUCUAGAGCAGCUCUGUCCAAUAGAAAUAUAAUGUGAGUCACAGGUGAAAGUCACAUAUGUAUGUUAAAUUAUCUAGUAGCCACAUUAAAAUGCCAAAAGGAAACACGUGAAACUACUUUCAAUGACAUUUUAUUUAACCUAAUUACCAAAAUAUUGCUCAACAUAUAAUCAGUGUAUAAAAUAUUAACAAUAUUUUACAUUCUUAUUUUGUACUGAAUCCUCAAAAUCAAGUGUUUAUUUUACACUUACAGUACAUCUCAGUUUGGACUAGCCACACUUCAAGUGCCCAGUGGCCACAUGUGGCAGGUGAUUACUCUGUCGGACAGUGCAGUUCUAGAAGUAUGGCUGCCUCUAGGCAGGAUCGAAUUAUGGUCUGGCACAAAUUGUUUAACUCUUGCUAAUUUUGGAUAAUGAACAUUUAUUUACACUUUAUUAUUCUUUCAGCUUUACCCUCACCUCCUUGUAAAUUUCCAAAGUCUGUGGUCAUAAGAAACCUGCCAGCAGUAACUGGGGAACUUCCUUCCUUGUCCACGAAACAUACCCGGAAGUGGAAUUGCUGGAUCAUGUGGUAGUUCUAUUUUUAAUUUUUUGAGGAACUUCCAUAUUCUUUUAAAAAGGAAGGAAAAUCUGAUAUAUGCUGCAACAUGGAUGAACCUUGAGGAUAUUAUGCUAUGUAAAAUAAGCCAGUCACACACACACGCAAAAGACAAAUACCAUAUGAUUCCACUUAUAUGAAGUAUUUAGAAUAGUCAAAAUCAUAGACAGAGCAAGUAGAAUGGUGUUUGCCAGGGGCUGGAGAGGAGGGAGAAUGAGGAGUUACCAUUUAAUGGGUAUAGGUUUCAGCUUUAUAAGAUAAAACGAGUUCUGGAGAUGGAUGAUUGUGAUGGUUGCAUGACAUUAUGAAUGUAUUUAAUACUACUGAACUGUACACUUAAAAUGGUUAAGUUGGUAAAUUUUAUGUUAUGUGUAAAAUUGUAAUUAAAUAAUGCGAUUACUGAUACUUGAAAAUUUUUGUCAGUAUUUUCUACCUUUUAUAUUGCAAGUUUCUUUUAUAUUGUAGAAUAUACAGUGAGAAUUUCCUUUUCUCAUGUAAAAUUCUUUUUACAGUGGGUAAUUUCUUGAGUAAAAAAUGUUUAAUAAAAAGAAGCUUCAAGUGUUCUUCAAAGGGAAAUGUCAAGAGGGAAAUUGUGUAAGAAUUUUUAUUUUAAGCUGAUGUGAAUUUUAAUAAAUUAAAACGUUUGAUUUAAAUUUUGUGGAAAGACCACUUUAUUAGUAUUUUGUCAAAAAGAAAUAGUGACUUGUAGCCUUUAUACUGAACCAACUGGUAUUGUAAAAAUAAGUCCCGGAAAUAAAGCAAAUACAGUCUCCUGUGAGGACUUUCAGAAAUAACAUGUGGUAGCUAUCCUACUGGACCUCUGGGUGCCGCUGUUGGCCAAUCCGUGGCUUAGAGUGAAACAAAGGAACCCACUGGCGGUUCUGACGCAGCGAUGUAUGCACAUUUUUGAGAAACACACCAGGAGCGGACUCUGCACGCCAUCUCUCUUGCAAUCUGCUCCAAAUAUCUGGGUCAGGAAGGUCUGAGAGAGCUGCUGCCUUUUCUUUCCAGCGCACCUUGGUAAUCCGAGGAGCAACUGUAGCGAGGUGCAUUCGGUCCUACGAAGCAGCAUCGUGAAGAGAGAGAAGUCUCCCCACAGGGAAGACGCGGGAGUGCAGGAAGCGCUGUUUCCUUUUCUGAUGUCUUUGUUCAGCCUAGUGAACUGCGCAGCAGUUACGCUGAGAGAUUCCGGAAGAGAUAGCCGAGGAUUUAAAAGUGGGGAAUCUCGCCAAAGAUCUACAUGUUGGUGACAAGAACCAUGGGUCUACUGUAUGGUCCAGGAGAUUGGGAAUGGGAGGCUCACCCAGAGCCUCCAUUGCACACUUUAGCACUUCCAACUGAAACUUGGUGCCCUAAGUGCCUCCUAUUUUUCCUGACCAGGUGCUGUUGUCUGACGUGUCAGUGAGUGCAGAGCACAGUGGUGUUCACUGCAGCCUACCUUUGAGCUGACUCUGUGGCCUGGGACCAGUGCUCUGUGUCAGCCUGAGCCUGCCUGUAAUGGUGUACUACCACUGCAAAAACUCACAGAAGACGUGCUAUGCUGGGAGUUGCACCUGGAAGUCACAUGCCUCUUUCAUGGGGCAUCACACACUGCAGCUCGACUACCUGGUCGCCAAGGUGACUGGGGCGCAACACCUGACUGUCCUAUCAGGUGUCCUAAUCUGACUCUUCAACCUGAGAAUGCACAAGAGCAAGAUGCCCACUGGGGCACUGCAGAUGACAGAGACACCGUUCUCUGGGGCUUGCUGGUCACCAUGCUCAAUGACGACAUUCGUCAUGCUGCAGCUAGUCUUUGCAGGAGUUGUGGACAGACCUCAGCGACCACCCACCACCUACUGCCAGAGCUACAGCUUUACCUGGUCAUGGCCUUUUCGCCUUGAUCUUCAUGUUCUUCUUCCUAGCAGUGACUCUGGCCAUAGCCUGGUGCCUGCAGUGCUCCUCCAGCCCUGCAAUUCAGCCUGGUCCAAGACUGGACGUGGAGUUGCUCCCACUUCAGCAAGAGAGAUUUGCCCUAUUCCUACAGUCAAUAUGUGACUUCAGAUAUUGCAAAGUCUUAAUUUCUUCAAGUUAACUCAGAAACAUCUUCAACUAGAUCGUUUCUGUAGUACCAGCAGUGAAGCCUUAACUAUUACAUUGGAUUCAAAUGUAUUCGUGUGAGUUUUAACACUUUUAUUUCAUAAAUAUCACCCUGCUGUAAGCAAUCCUGCUUAUUUUUUGUUGUCUUUAGGGGUGUGCGAGAGCUCUACAAGUUUGCUUGCUAGUUUCUAUGUAUAUUUUGAUUUGUUUCAUUAGCCCAGAAAAUUCCUUUGGGCAAAACUUUGUGCCUAUUAAUGUACGUUCUGAAAAAUUAUGUUUCUGGCUAAAGAGUUCUUUCCUCGAAAUAUUGAAGGAGGUUCACUGCAUCUUUAAGUUUCUGCUCUUGGGCUACAUUAUAUUUGUCUUUGAGAAGCUGGGAAACUGUAGAUUUGGUUGUGUAAGAACAUAGAGUCUCUCUCCAAGAACUAUUCUGGCCUUUGAUUGUUUCCCUGCAUCAUUUUCCAGAGCCUUCUCAGUCAUGCUGUCCAUGGGUUGGCUGCCAAUAUCUGGCCCAAUUUGUUCCUAAAAUUGUCAGCUUCUGGAAUGCAGAGAUCAUUCUUCCCUAACUUCUGUGUAAGGAUAAAUAAAUCACACUAAGCCCAAGACACUUCAGUUAGUAACCUUUUACUAAUUUGCAAUGAGUAAAAGAAGGAAGGCAAUAUAGUUUUAAAAUCUUGCUGUUUUAGAAAACCAACUUCUUUUGGAGAAAACAUUAAGUGUGGAUGUAGGAGAAUACAUAUUAUCCUAAUAUAGACUAUCUAAAAAUAAAGAUGUGGCCUUUUUAUUUUCAAUUUUGAAAAAUA